UCUUCCUCACCCAACACUGCUCUCUCUCUCUUCCCACAGCAAUGGCGGGCUGACCGCAGCCGCUGCCCCGAGGCAUCCUAAAGGCAAGGCCUCGUUUGCCAACAAACCGGCCGACCCGCGUUUGUUUAGCUCCGCCCCUGCUCCCGCCGCCCGCGGUGCCGUCCCAGCCUUACGCACCACGAAUCCUACCCCAUCCCGCGGGGCCGCACGUCCCGGCACCACCGAGGCCGUAGCUGCAGCCGCGCCUCGUAGGUUCCGGCGUUCCGCCACCCGUUGGCGGUGAAAGAGAUCACCCACCACGCGGUCCGAGGUUCUCGCCGCCGCCCGCCCGCCGUCUCGGCCGUGAACGUGAACCUGUGCCACUGCCAACCACCGGGUGGAUAACGGCAGGGCGAGAUGCUGAUCCCGUGCGAUUGCUUCCUCCAUGUUCCUGCACCGCCACUGACUCCAUUACAGAAUUCUACAGCUUCGGCGCCCUGCAGAGAUAAAGGCCUCACGUCGCAGAUCAACUCUGUCUAUGCACCAGCUAGAACUUAUGAAAUUUGUCCGGAAUUGACAGUUCCAUGCACAGUUGCCAGACAUACUGGCAAAGGGAAGAAAAAAAGCAACUGGGUCCAUUAUGGUGGGUUGCUUCCAGCAAUGCUGGAGGCACUGGAGGAUGUCCAGGACGUCGGGGAAGCGCUCUGGCCAUGGAAGGACACACUGAGCAACCGGGAGAGGACGAUCGUCCUCAAGGAGCAGAAAGAUUGGAGACGGGCUGUCGAGAUCUUUGACUGGUUUCGCAGGGAGAGGGGCCAUGAGCUCAAUGUGAUUCACUACAAUGUUGUGCUCUGUACAGUUGGGCGAGCCAGGAGAUGGGAUCUCGUUCUUAAUCUGUGGCAUGAGAUGCAUUCCUGUGGUGUGGCACCAGAUAACUCGACAUAUGGUACAUUGAUCAAUGUAUGUUGCAAAGGAGGAGGAGAACGGGCGACUUUGCUUUGGCUUGGGGACAUGUGCAAGCGGGGUUUGAUGCCUGAUGAGGUCACUAUGAGUAUUGUGCUGCAGGCGCUUAAGAAAGCUGGGGAGUAUGAAAUGGCCGAGCUUUUCUUCAGAAAGUGGUCCUCAGACUCAAGUGGAAGGAUGGAGGGACACCCUCACUACAGCUUGUACACUUACAACAACUUGAUUGAUACUUAUGGAAAAGCCAGUCAACUUGAGAAAGUAUCAGAUACAUUCAAUCAAAUGUUGAAAGAAGGAGUUGCGCCAAGUGUCGUUACUUUCAACACAAUGAUUCAUGUUUGGGGCACACACCAUAGAAUGGAGCGAGUUUCUUCUUUGGUGAGGAUGAUGGAGGAAUUCCAGUGCUUUCCUGACACUAGGACUUACAAUAUACUGAUCUCACUGUACAGGGAAAGCAACAAUAUUGAUGUUGCAGAGUACUACUUCUGGAAGAUGAAGGCAGAAAAUUUGAUACCAGAUGUAGUGAGCUGCCGCACACUCUUAUAUGGAUACUCUAUCAGGGGCAUGAUUUCUAAAGCGGAAGCCCUUCUAAAAGAAAUGGAUGAGAGGGGAUUUUUGAUAGAUGAAUACACACAAUCAGCUUUGACGAGGAUGUAUGUGAAUGCUGGGAUGCUUGAGCAAGCAUGGCAUUGGUUUGACAGAUUCCAUCACCAGAUGAAUUCUGAAUGCUUUUCUGCAAAUAUUGAUGCAUUUGUUGAGAAAGGAUACAUAGUUCUUGCAGAGAAGGCUUUUAUACACUGCCUAAAGAAGAAGAUGCUCAGUGUUUCUGUGUGCAAUGUUAUGAUCAAAGGAUAUGGGUUGGUAGACAAGCUAGAUGAGGCAUGUGAGGUAGCUGAUGGCAUGGAGAGGUAUGGCAUUUUACCUGAUUACGUGACAUACAGUUCUCUCAUUCAACUUCUGUCAACCGCUAAACUGCCAAAGAAGGCUCUUCACUACUUGAAAAAAAUGCAAUCAGUAAAACUGCUGUCAGACUGUGUUCCGUACUCUGUGGUAAUUAGUAGCUUUGCUAAGAAUAGUGAUUUAGGAAUGGUUGAAUACCUAUUUAGAGAAAUGAUCACUUCAGGGAUCCGUGCUGAUGUUUUCCUCUACUCUAUUUUAAUUGAUGCUUUUGCUGAAGUUGGAAAGGUCCAACAAGCUGCAGCAUAUUUUGGUUUGAUGAAAAAAGAUGGCUUAUGUGAGAGUGCUACAAUCUACAAUUCUUUGAUAAAGCUCUAUACAAAGUGAUCAUUGUAUGGUGAAAGAAGCGCGUGAGAUUUUUGAAAGUUUGAAGGCCAGGAGAAGUGCAAAUGAAUUCUCAUACGCAAUGAUGGUGUGUUUGUACAAGAAAAUUGGUCGCUACGAUGUAGCUCACAGGAUUUGCAAGGAAAUGCAAGCUCUUGGACUUAUGACUCAAGCACUAAGCUACAAUUCUGCAAUCCAAAUGUAUGUAUCUUGUGGAAGAAUGGAGGAUGCUUUUAAAAUAUUUAAGAAGAUGUUGGUAUCAAACACACCACCAAAUGAUGCAACAUUCAAGGCACUAAAAGUUAUUCUAGUAAGAAGUGGAGUUACAAGGAACGAGAUAAGGAAGCUAGAAUUGUUAAGAAGAAAUAACACUCAUGAUUGCUUGCAUCAAUGGUACAGGGCACUAUCCCUUUCCCUUCAGCUGUAAGAUCAAGCAUGUUUUCUUUCCAACAUAGUAUUAUUGAUCAAUCUGCUAAAAGGGCACACCCUUUUGACAUUGACAAUUGUAAGAGUAGAAAAAUGAGCACAAGAAAGCAAGUAACAUCAGAACUGAUUUCAAAUGGUUGAAAUCUUAGAUGUAGAUGCACAAUUGCGAUUAUCUAUCUGCUGAACUCUAUACAGAGACGGUGCAUGCCAUUUUUGAGUAAAAAAUGUUGAUAGUUGAUUGACUGAUGCACAGAGAAUUCAUGGAGAUCAUUUACACAUGUGUGGAUCCUGUUAGAUCUCUGCAGGUGAGUUUUAUUACUUAUAUGCUCCCAGUUUCUAUGUAUCAGAAUAUAAGGUACAUGCUGUUGCAACGUCAUGGUUUUGCUAAAAUUGAACUGCUUCAGCUUGUAUGACUUUCACAAAAAGAUUCAGUAUAUGAUAAUCUCCAACUUUGCGAUGUUUUUCUGAGUUCUGCCUGUUGUGAUUUUAUUUAAUUACAUCACAGUUACUUGGCAACAUAAAUUUUCAAUAAUGGCAUCGUACUUCUUGCAGUGCCCUAUUAUGUUAUUAGUAAUUUGUCCUGAUAAAUCUGCAGUAUAUAUUUGUUUGGCUUAUAUUGAAUAAAUUUGUGUUCCCUUGUUGGUGGCUCAUGUUGGGUUUCAGCUCUAGCCUAUCACAACUUUACCGCUGAAAGCCUCAAAAUUUAAAUGAUGCACUUUUCAAUUUAUGCCACUUUGUAUUGAGGAACAUGUAAUAUUUUACCAAAAAUAUACAGGUCGAACUAUAAAUAUAAUACUAAUUUUAAACUUCUCUGAUCAUCAUACUCCAGUGCCAUUAUUUUAUUGUAAUAUGCUCUUCUCUAGCUAUUUCUUUUUUCGUAUUAGAGCAUACUUGAUCACAAAAGACAUCUAUUUGACUUUCUGCUUCCUAUUAGGGCUGUAUGGUUUGUAAGCAAAAACCGUUCGUUUGGCAUUUGCAGACGCUCUCGCGGGCUGCUGGCUAGUGGAGCUUGCUCUCAGCCAGCAUACCCGGGUUCGAGUCCUGCCUUCUUCUAAGUGUAAUGCGGGGAGGCAGUCUGCCUCUUCCGUCUCGUUUUUUUUAGGUGUUGUACAUUUGCAACACAUACGAAAGGUGUACCAUGGCCAGUGAUUCAUCUAAAUGAUGAUUCAGGUAGUGCAAUUUACUGGAGGCACCCUUCUUAUUGGCUUCUGCAAACUGAGAUCCUUGGAAGAUUAAUUCUGAACAAGAGAAUACUUUGUUUGCUGGUGACAGAAUGGCAACUUCACCAACAGCACAGAGUGGAUGGAAAUGGAAUUCAACACCGUGCGUAUUAUACCUGGUAGACGGCCUCGCUCCGGAGGAGGCUCUUGUGGCCGGCCUCACAAUGCCAAGUCUUCUGCUCUCCACUGCCGGCGCCAUUGCAACCCGCUGCCUUCGACUCGCCAUUGCACUAUUUCACUGCCCGGGCCCAGGGAGAGCUCCCAUUGCACUAUUUCACUGCCCGGGCCCAGGGAGAGCUGAGCACCGUGCCGAAGAACCGCGAGCUGAUGCUAUGGGCGAUGAGAGCGGUUCUCUGUCAGUUUAUGCAGCUGCGGUGUCUUAUGCAGGAGUCGUGCGUGCUCAGGUGAGCUGCGAGGCCGUGACCAUCAGCAGCAGUUCGGCCCUUACGUUUUAUGAACAAGAAAAAUGGAGGAGUUUGUGCAUUGUUCCAAUUACUUUUCGAAAUGAUUGGUAUUAGUACCACAUAAAA